GGAAUGACACAAGACGGCCAGAGUGGGCCACUAAGGAAGGACACUGUAAUCUGCGAGGCUACCUCCCCCAACAAAGACAGGUCCAAGGGGGAGCCCCACGUCCCAUGUCCAGGAGAUGGAGGAAGACACCACCGCUGGCCCUUCUUGGUGAUUUGACCAGAAGAGACACAAAACGUAAAAUGAAUUCUUAGGCUUGUGAUCAGAGGACAUGUAAUGUCUGCUAUUCCAGAUGCAGCCUGUAGCGCGAGGCAUCCACAGGGCAGCCAGUCCUGAUUUUACAAGGGCCACAGCUCCUCUACCACAAGAAGAAUUGUUCUCAGUUAUAAAGCAUAAGCCAGAAGCCUUCACAUCAGCCCGGACUUCUUUCUCUGAGGCCUGUCUAUCACCAGCACCAAAGCAAAUGAGUCAGCGAUCAGUCCUGCCCGUCCCUGGAACCCACGGCCUCUGCUUCUCUUCCUGGCUGCCUUUCUGGGACUUGUAUUCCCAGCGUGAAGCAGCCAUCUGGAGCUGAGGAAAGAGCUUACUGAGGAGAGUGGGUGUGCAAUGGGCCACACUGCAAGAUAAUGGAUGGGCACAUGGGACUGGUGCUGUGUCUACAAGGACACCUCGGCGGCCUCUGGACCACACUCUGAGAACUACAGCUUGCUAGGGUUUUCCGGAGCGAAGAUGUGUUGUGAAGACACUCAGAAGGAAGGACUAAUUGGACUGGUUCCUCUCGGAGGGCUGGGGACAAUAUUGUUCUGUGAAGUGUCACCACAGCAAUAGUUUGCAAGUUAGGCAGAAAGAAAUGUCAUGUAGCAGUUAUUAAGCAAAUGGAUUCUGUUUUCUUCUGGUUGAGAAGAGCCGUAUUAGCUUGGUGAAGCCCAUCUCAUUCUGGCUACCUAAGCAAUUUGUUUUCAUGUUAUAACUGGAGAGAGAAAAGGUCUCAUUAAUCAGCCCAGAUCAUAUGCUGAAAAUAGGAGAGUGCUUCAGCACAACAAUUACCAUUUUGUCUGGCAAGAGAUGCAAUUAGGAAAAACUUUGUGGUUUUCAUUGACCCAAAUCUUUUAACUAAUGGUGGAAAGGCUGCUGAAAAUUCUAGUUGUCAGAGCUGAAAUUUACACGUGGAAGAAAAGUCUGUGUUGAUUUCAUUGACAUAAAACCAAAUGGCUUCUGGUCUACCUGCCUCAGUCUAUAUGAUUAGUUUUAACAGACACUGAGAGCAUCUUCCUGACCAUGGUAAUGAAUUUUUUAAGCUCUUAUUACACCAGCUCUUAAAACCACACUGUCUUGACAUUAUAAAUAAUUCAAAGACCUUAUAUGUGCUGCCUAAGUAAGAUUUCAUUUGUCAGAAAAAAUAAUCUACCAUACCUGUUUACAUGAAAAUCCUGAAGCAAAAGGCAAGGCCAUGGCUGAUUAUACCAUUUGCAUUCGUAUUCCCUUUCCUGAGACCAAGUUCCUACAGUGCAGUAAUGAGCAUUUUCAGAUGACCCCAUAACCCAGGGGAAAAGAAAAGCCAAUAUCUAGUCCGAAGAUGAUAUAAGGCAUUGCUUAUUAUACAAUAUCUGUGUCCCCGUGAUGUAUUUCUUUAUUUCAAGAUCAUGACACUCCCUUCUGUCUUAAUACUGUCCUCUAAAACAAUGGUUCUCAAAUUUUUCUGCCUAUUAGAACCACCUGGGGAAUUUUUAAAACUUCUGAUGCCUGGGCUGUCCCCUAGCGUAAUUAAACUGGAAUCUCUGAA